AGCGGAAGUAAAGGCUUUAGUUCCGGUUUGCAUCAUGUAGGUUUCCAUUAGUAGGCUCUAGACACUGCAUGUAGAUACACGUCUUUAUAUAAACGAAAGUAUAUAUCAGAAAAGAAACUUAAAUGGAAACCAAUAACAAGGUUAAGCCAAGCCUAUAACCGAAGGCUUAAAAAGUUCUUCACAGCUUAAAGGGGUGUACAAGCAGUGAAGUGGGGCCAACCUGACUCUGGUGGCUGAAAUUCCGCCCGACUGGACUGCUGGCAGCCAUAAAUAAUGCCACACGAAGUUUAAAAUGCAAUAAUGAAAUUUAUUAAGAACUUAUGCGGAGUUAAAACACCAAAGAUGGGGACGGCAUCCUUGUGUAAGCACGGGCGAAAGGAAUCACGCAAGUCAAGGAGAGCAGAAGUCCAGAUACUCUAGCAAAUCGAAAGACGAUCGAGCUUGAGACGCGACCUCCAAACUGAUGGGCCACUUGAGUUGCUUGAUUUUGGGUUUUGGGUGCGCACAACUUACAAUUAGUAUUCAAUUAGAAAAAAUAUAUGUUUAUUUUUAAGUACGUAGUGUUUAGGCUUAGGUUGGGGACUUUGGGCCUUGUGAGUGUUUAGUGUCGGUUUAACGUUUUGUACAUGCCCA
rnacentral:sRNA from 1 species